UACGUAGGGUGCGAGCGUUGUCCGGAAUUAUUGGGCGUAAAGAGCUUGUAGGCGGUUUGUCGCGUCUGCCGUGAAAAUUCGAGGCUCAACCUCGAACUUGCGGUGGGUACGGGCAGACUAGAGUGUGGUAGGGGAGACUGGAAUUCCUGGUGUAGCGGUGAAAUGCGCAGAUAUCAGGAGGAGCACCGGUGGCGAAGGCGGGUCUCUGGGCCGAUACUGACGCUGAGGAGCGAAAGCGUGGGGAGCAAACAGG
rnacentral:rRNA from 1 species